rnacentral:rRNA from 1 species
UGGGGAAUCUUGCGCAAUGGGCGAAAGCCUGACGCAGCAACGCCGCGUGCGGGAUGAAGGCCCUCGGGUCGUAAACCGCUUUCAGCAGGGAUGAAGAUGACAGUACCUGCAGAAGAAGCCCCGGCUAAAUACGUGCCAGCAGCCGCGGUAAUACGUAUGGGGCAAGCGUUAUCCGGAUUCAUUGGGCGUAAAGCGCGCGUAGGCGGCUUGUUAAGUCAGGCGUGAAAUCCGGGGGCUCAACCCGCGGCUUGCGUCUGAAACUGGCAGGCUUGAGUCUGGUAGAGGAAAGUGGAAUUCCUGGUGUAGCGGUGAAAUGCGCAGAUAUCAGGAGGAACACCAGUGGCGAAGGCGGCUUUCUGGGCCACGACUGACGCUGAGGCGCGAAAGCUAGGGGAGCGAACAGGAUUAGAUACCCUGGUAGUCCUAGCCGUAAACGAUGGGCACUAGGUGUGGGGGGUCAUCGACUCCCUCCGUGCCGAAGCUAACGCAUUAA